UUUAUUUCUGCUAGCAUGGACAUACUUGUAAUGCAGAAAGGACCCGAUGUUUUGGACAUCGAUAAAGAUGUAUAAGACCAAUGGAGAUUAACUUGGCUUAGCGAAAUGAGGAAGAUUGGCAAGCUUUCAGUUCGUGGGCUAAGAAAUUCAAACAGAGGACCCCAACUGAUUUCCCCCUAGUGUUAAAUACAAAAUGAGGCCAGAGACUGUUUGUCACGGUUCAUUCCAGCCACCUGUGUGUUGAUUGUCUCGCUCCAGCUGAUCAUCACCACCCAGUUAUAUACUCACCGCUGUCUCUGUCUCUCGUCAGAUCUUCACUCUACGUUUGUGCAGAUAUUCUCUGGAUUACCGUGUUUUGUUCCCGUGCUUGGAGUAGUCUUCUCUCACUACCGUAGUCCUUCGUUCACCAUUGCAACACUCUGGACUCAUCAGCUCUGUCAUUGUUUAUUGCAUGUUUACAUAUUGUAAAUAAACCUUCACUGAU